rnacentral:rRNA from 1 species
GAUGAACGCUGGCGGCGUGCUUAACACAUGCAAGUCGAACGAGAAAUGAUAUUACGAUCUCUUCGGAGUGACGGUUUUAUUUCGAGUGGCGGACGGGUGAGUAACGCGUGAGCAACCUGCCCUAUACCGGGGGAUACCAGUUGGAAACGACUGUUAAUACCGCAUAAGCGCACGAUAAGACAUCUUGUUGUGUGAAAAACUCCGGUGGUAUAGGAUGGGCUCGCGUAUGAUUAGCCAGUUGGCGGGGUAAAGGCCCACCAAAGCGACGAUCAUUAGCCGACCUGAGAGGGCGACCGGCCACAUUGGGACUGAGACACGGCCCAAACUCCUACGGGAGGCAGCAGUGGGGAAUAUUGCACAAUGGGCGAAAGCCUGAUGCAGCGACGCCGCGUGAGUGAGGAAGUAUUUCGGUAUGUAAAGCUCUAUCAGCAGGGAAGAAAGAAAUGACGGUACCCUGAGUAAGA